UUUUAUGGAGAGUUUGAUCCUGGCUCAGGAUGAACGCUGGCGGCGUGCCUAAUACAUGCAAGUCGAGCGAACGGACGAGAAGCUUGCUUCUCUGAUGUUAGCGGCGGACGGGUGAGUAACACGUGGAUAACCUACCUAUAAGACUGGGAUAACUUCGGGAAACCGUAGCUAAUACCGGAUAAUAUUUUGAACCGCAUGGUUCAAAAGUGAAAGACGGUCUUGCUGUCACUUAUAGAUGGAUCCGCGCUGCAUUAGCUAGUUG
rnacentral:rRNA from 1 species